rnacentral:rRNA from 1 species
AGAGUUUGAUCAUGGCUCAGAACGUACGCUGGCGGCACGCCUAAUACAUGCAAGUCGAACGAAGUAGCAAUACUUAGUGGCAGACGGGUGAGUAACAUGUAGGUAUCUUCCCAUUGGUGAGGAAUAACACGAGGAAACUUGUGCUAAUACCUCAUAAGUCUUUACGGAGAAAGCUUUAUGCGCCGAUGGAUGAGCCUGCACUUGAUUAGUUUGUUGGUAGGGUAAUGGCCUACCAAGACAAUGAUCAAUAGCUGAUUUGAGAGGAUGAUCAGCCACAUUGGGACUGAGACACGGCCCAAACUCCUACGGGAGGCAGCAGUAGGGAAUCUUGCACAAUGGGGGAAACCCUGAUGCAGCGAUGCCGCGUGAGUGAAGAAGGCCUUUGGGUUGUAAAGCUCUUUCGUCGGGGAAGAAAAUGACUGUACCCGAAUAAGAAGGUCCGGCUAACUUCGUGCCAGCAGCCGCGGUAAUACGAAGGGACCUAGCGUAGUUCGGAAUUACUGGGCUUAAAGAGUUCGUAGGUGGUUAAAAAAGUUGGUGGUGAAAUCCCAGAGCUUAACUCUGGAACUGCCAUCAAAACUUUUUAGCUAGAGUAUGAUAGAGGAAAGCAGAAUUUCUAGUGUAGAGGUGAAAUUCGUAGAUAUUAGAAAGAAUACCAAUUGCGAAGGCAGCUUUCUGGAUCAUUACUGACACUGAGGAACGAAAGCAUGGGUAGCGAAGAGGAUUAGAUACCCUCGUAGUCCAUGCCGUAAACGAUGUGUGUUAGACGUUGGAAAUUUAUUUUCUGUGUCGCAGCGAAAGCAAUAAACACACCGCCUGGGGAGUACGACCGCAAGGUUAAAACUCAAAUGAAUUGACGGGGACCCGCACAAGUAGUGGAGCAUGUGGUUUAAUUCGAAGAUACGCGCAGAACCUUACCAACACUUGACAUGUUCGUCGCGACUUUAAGAGAUUAAAGUUUUCGGUUCGGCCGGACGAAACACAGGUGCUGCAUGGCUGUCGUCAGCUCGUGUCGUGAGAUGUUGGGUUAAGUCCCGCAACGAGCGCAACCCUCACUUUUAGUUGCCAUCAUUAAGUUGGGCACUCUGAAAGAACUGCCAGUGAUAAGCUGGAGGAAGGUGGGGAUGACGUCAAGUCCUCAUGGCCCUUACGUGUUGGGCUACACACGUGCUACAAUGGCAUUUACAAUAGGAAGCAAGACGGCGACGUUUAGCAAAUCCUAAAAAAGUGCCUCAGUUCGGAUUGUACUCUGCAACUCGAGUACAUGAAGCUGGAAUUACUAGUAAUCGCGGAUCAGCGCGCCGCGGUGAAUACGUUCCCGGGUCUUGUACACACCGCCCGUCACACCAUGGGAGUUGGUUCUACCUUAAGGCAAAGUUUAAAACCUUUGACCACGGUAUAGUCAGCGACUGGGGUGAAGUCAUAACAAGGUAGCCGUA